CGGAAGGCGAGGGACGCUUUCGAGUCCAGCGUGCGGCGUCCCCGGCAGCGGCAGAGCCAGCCCGCAGGUCUUCGCGUGGGACUGUCCAGUUGACGGUUUUGGUGACCACGAAGGACCCAGAGCAGACUUGUCUUCUUCACUUGAACUCUGCGAGGAUCUGGAGCUUGGUACCAACAGAGGCCUCUUUGGUCCGUGCACCUCAUCAGAGAGUCCAGACGAAUUUGGACACAGCCUGCUAUGAAUGUCACCAGCCCUCUGCCUCCCCCAUUCAAGGGACAGACACUCCCUCAGGAUUUGAAUCCUGAUUGGACUGACUGAGAGUCUGAAGACAGCAGGUGCUGUCCCCACCAGCAGAGGC